GACGUAGGGUGCGAGCGUUAAUCGGAAUUACUGGGCGCAAAGCGUGCGCAGGCGGUUUUGUAAGCCAGAUGUGAAAUCCCCGGGCUUAACCUGGGAAUGGCAUUUGGGACUGCAAGGCUGGAGUGCGGCAGAGGAGACUGGAAUUCCUGGUGUAGCAGUGAAAUGCGUAGAUAUCAGGAGGAACACCGAUGGCGAAGGCAGGUCUCUGGGCUGACACUGACGCUCAGGCACGAAAGCGUGGGGAGCAAACAGG
rnacentral:rRNA from 1 species